UGGUGAUCGUGCAUGUUUUCCGGGUAACCUUGUUCUUCCUUGAUGAAGAGGGGUUGAAUCAACUUGAAUUGGCUCACCAUACAUGACCAUCUGUGAUAGGUUUUCUGGAAGUUCAAAAUCGCCCAGUGUCACACCUUUCUUUUCAAUUCCUCCACGCAUCACUCCAAUCUCCUCUUCUUUUUCAACGCAUUCUUCUACAACUUCAGUCAUAGUUACACCAUGAAUUGGUGACUGUGGAACAUUGUCUUCAACAUAUGCU
rnacentral:lncRNA from 1 species